GACGAACGCUGGCGGCGUGCCUAAUACAUGCAAGUAGAACGCUGAAGCGAGGAGCUUGCUCUUCUUGGAUGAGUUGCGAACGGGUGAGUAACGCGUAGGUAACCUGCCUUGUAGCGGGGGAUAACUAUUGGAAACGAUAGCUAAUACCGCAUAACAAUGGAUGACACAUGUCAUUUAUUUGAAAGGGGCAAUUGCUCCACUACAAGAUGGACCUGCGUUGUAUUAGCUAGUAGGUGAGGUAAUGGCUCACCUAGGCGACGAUACAUAGCCGACCUGAGAGGGGGAUCGGCCACACUGGGACUGAGACACGGCCCAGACUACUACGGGAGGCAGCAGUAGGGAAUCUUCGGCAAUGGGGGCAACCCUGACCGAGCAACGCCGCGUGAGUGAAGAAGGUUUUCGGAUCGUAAAGCUCUGUUGUAAGUCAAGAACGGGUGUGAGAGUGGAAAGUUCACACUGUGACGGUAGCUUACCAGAAAGGGACGGCUAACUACGUG
rnacentral:rRNA from 1 species